GCGGAAGUAAUUCAAUGGCAGAAUGGGUGACUGCCAGUCAUCAUGUUGGGAGUUCGAGUCUCCUCUUCCGCU
rnacentral:tRNA from 1 species